ACGGCCACAUUACUUUGAAACUUAUGUUCCUGUACGAUCACCAAAGUUAAACAACGUCGAGCGUGGUCAGUACCCAGAUGGGUGACCGCUUGGGAAUACCAGGUACUGUA